rnacentral:tRNA from 1 species
ACCGCGAUAGCUCAGCUGGUAGAGCAUCUGCCCGGUAUGCAGAGGGUCAUCGGUUCGAUUUUGGUUCGCGGCG